GGAGGGGUGCCAGAGUGGUUGAAUGGGACGGUCUCGAAAACCGUUGUAGCGCACCGCGUUACCGUGGGUUCGAAUCCCACCCCCUCCGCCA
rnacentral:tRNA from 1 species